GCCAUCUGUCAGCACAAUGCCAAGCAAACCUGCGCCCAUCAAGAAGUCCCCAGUCAAGCAGGCGGCCAAGAAGGCUCCUGCGCCUGCGCUCGUCCCGGAGCCUGAACCGGCCCCCGUAGAGGCUGCACCUGCGGAUGCUGCACCUGUGGAAGCUGCUGCGAUUGAGGAGACAGCUCCCGCACCCGAGGGAGAAGCAGCCCCAGCAGAGGACACCCCCACUGCCGAAGGAGGCACCCCAGGAACAGUUCUUGUGAGAAGCAGCACAGCAUGCAUGGGACUGGAUGUGGUCGAGUGACUGGUAUUGUUUUUGCCGGCCAACCUCGACAUGUAACUCCUAACUUCAGCUGAUGCCAGAGGCACCAAGGGAGCCGACGCGCCGACUCCUGCUGAUUGUAAACACACAACACAUGCAUUCCACACACACAAGCUGCAUGAUGUGUGUUUAUGUCCCACUGUGUGUGUGUGUGUGUGUGUGUGUGUGUGUGUGUGUGUGUGUGUGUGUGUGUGUGUGUGUGUGUGUGUGUGUGUGUGUGUGUGUGUGUGUGUGUGUGUGUGUGUUACUUGCUCAUCAACCGUUGUGUUUACUGAUUGUUUGUAAAGUUAAUCUUGUGUACAAGUGAGGUUUCACUUUGUGGCGACGUGAUCUGCUGUGCGCAAAUGUUUUACAAUGUAUCCAAGAUAUGUCCG
rnacentral:lncRNA from 1 species